AUUGAACGCUGGCGGCAGGCCUAACACAUGCAAGUCGGACGGUAGCACAGAGGAGCUUGCUCCUUGGGUGACGAGUGGCGGACGGGUGAGUAAUGUCUGGGGAUCUGCCCGAUAGAGGGGGAUAACCACUGGAAACGGUGGCUAAUACCGCAUAACGUCGCAAGACCAAAGAGGGGGACCUUCGGGCCUCUCACUAUCGGAUGAACCCAGAUGGGAUUAGCUAGUAGGCGGGGUAAUGGCCCACCUAGGCGACGAUCCCUAGCUGGUCUGAGAGGACGACCAGCCACACUGGAACUGAGACACGGUCCAGACUCCUACGGGAGGCAGCAGUGGGGAAUAUUGCACAAUGGGCGCAAGCCUGAUGCAGCCAUGCCGCGUGUAUGAAGAAGGCCUUCGGGUUGUAAAGUACUUUCAGCGGGGAGGAAGGCGGUAAGGUUAAUAACCUCACCGAUUGACGUUACCCGCAGAAGAAGCACCGGCUAACUCCGUGCCAGCCGCCGCCGUAA
rnacentral:rRNA from 1 species